rnacentral:lncRNA from 1 species
GCUGCCUUCUCAUAAACCACAUUCUUCCUCUCAAUCUGCUUCUCGAUGCUCUUAUGCAUGGACUUAACCAACUUGACUUUUUUCUUUCCAUCUAUACAAACCCUUUCGCUGAUUAAAAGUGGUGCCAAAUCAAGUGGGGUGAUAGGAUUGAACCCAUAAACCAUCUCAAAAGGAGAAUGCUUAGUAGUGCUAUGAAUACUAUGAUUGUAAGCAAACUCAACAUAAGUCAAACACUCAUCCCAAUUCUUCAUAUUCUUGUUAAC